UGGAGCUUGGAGGACGUCAGGUCCAAUGUGGCCAGCCAUCUGGGGCCCGUCAGGGAAGGAUAGGAGCCUGCGCACAUGUGGUCACAAGGGAGCCAAGCGCUUCCUGCUGAGACAUUCUUCUGGCCUUGCACUGCGUGAAGGACCUGCUCAGAAACCCUUUGGGGAAUCAUUUUCCGCCAGUGGUCGUCUUUGAUGGUGAAAUCGCCGGAUCAGCAUGGAUAGCGUCAAAAAUGAGAACAAAGACUAAUCAGCGCUGAAACAAAAUGCACAAAAUCGAGGCAGAGGAGCACAUGCCCACAAGGAAAAGCACUGAGCAGAAAUGCAAGGUUUAAAUUCUGGAAGGGGAAUGUUGAUUAACAAAUGACAACUCCCGCUGUGGACAGAACAGAGCCCUA